ACCAAACCUAGCCCACCUAAAUCUUACUCAACUAAUAUACUUAUAUAAAUCAAAACAUUUAUCCAAAUAAAAGUAUAGGAGAUAGAAAUUAUUAUUUGGCGCUAUAGAUAAAGUACCGCAAGGGAAAGAUGAAAGAAUUCUCAAAGUAAUAUAAAGCAAAGAUUAAAACUUCUACCUUUUGCAUAAUGAAUUAACUAGAAACAUCUUAACAUAAAGAAUUAAAGUUAAAUACCCCGAAACCAGACGAGCUACUUACAAGCAGCCAUUAGGGCUUACCCGUCUAUGUAGCAAAAUAGUGGGAAGACUUAUAAGUAGAGGUGAAAGACCAAUCGAGCUUGGUGAUAGCUGGUUACCAGUACAAGGGUCUUAGUUCAGUUUUAGCUUUACCAAAAAGAACUCCAAAUCAAAUGUAAAGUUUAAACUUUAUCUAAAGAGGGACAGCUCUUUAAGAUAAGGAAAUAACCUGUAAUAGUGAGUAAACUUAAUAUUAUUCCACAGUUGGCCUAAAAGCAGCCACCAGUUAAGAAAGCGUUCAAGCUCAACAUUUAAUUAAACCAAAUUCGCUUCUUCUAAUUCAACUCCUAUUAUUACCACUGGGUUAAUCUAUUUAUAAAUAGAUGAAAAUAUGUUAAUAUAAGUAACAAGAAAAAUUUUCUCCUAGCAUGAGUUUAUAUCAGACCGAAUACUCACUGAUAGUUAACAAUCUAAUAAUAAUAACCCUAAUUAAAUUUUUAUUAACUAUAUUGUUAAUCCAACACAGGUAUGCAUUCAAGGAAAGAUUAAAAGAAGUAAAAGGAACUCGGCAAACACUAACCCCGCCUGUUUACCAAAAACAUCACCUAUAGCAUAACAAGUAUUAGAGGCACUGCCUGCCCAGUGACUUUCGUUUAACGGCCGCGGUAUCCUGACCGUGCAAAGGUAGCAUAAUCACUUGUUCCUUAAUUAGGGACUUGUAUGAAUGGCUUAACGAGGGUUUAACUGUCUCUUACUUCCAAUCAGUGAAAUUGACCUUCCAGUGAAGAGGCUGGAAUAUAAUAAUAAGACGAGAAGACCCUAUGGAGCUUCAAUUGGCUAACUUAAAUUUUAUACUAACCAUCCAUUAGGAAUAACCAAAAAAUAAUUAAGUUAGAAAUUUCGGUUGGGGUGACCUCGGAGCAUAAAUAAAUCUCCGAAAUAUAAAAUCUAUACAAAUAAUUCAAAAUCUAAUAUAUCCAAUUGAUCCAAAAUUCUUGAUCAAUGAAUUAAUUUAUCCUAGGGAUAACAGCGCAAUCCUAUUUUAGAGUUCAUAUCGACAAUAGGGUUUACGACCUCGAUGUUGGAUCAGGACAUCCCAAUGGUGUAGCCGCUAUUGACGGUUCGUUUGUUCAACGAUUAACAGUCCUACGUGAUCUGAGUUCAGACCGGAGUAAUCCAGGUCGGUUUCUAUCUAUUUUCAAGCUCUCCCCAGUACGAAAGGACAAGGAAAGCAGGGCCUAUGUUAACAACAUGCCCUAAGCACUAUAAAUGAACCAAUCUUAAUUUAAAAUCCUCACAUACUUUACCCUAGACCAGGGUUU
rnacentral:rRNA from 1 species